CGUUAGGUGGCAUAGUUCAAUAUGUCAAAUAUCUUUGACAUAUUGUGGGACUUAUCCAGUGCCUGCCUGGACGUGGCGG
rnacentral:tRNA from 1 species